rnacentral:lncRNA from 1 species
CUUAUACGCAAAAAACUAGGUUCAAAAUAAAUGAAUUUUUUUUUUUUUUUUGGUCUGGUCAUAGUUGAAAAUAAGCAAGAGUUUCUCCCAAAAUAAGUAACCUUUUUACUUAAAGUAACAUUUGUAGAGCAUGUUUGGUGGUUCUUAAAAUGUACUUGUAGUUGUCUAUAAAGUAAGUUAAGCAUGUUUUGUUAGUGAAGAAACAUUAACUCUGAAAAUCCUAUUCGGUAAAAUAAGUAAUUGAAAAGUAAGUUUAGUUUACUUUCAUGCAAACAUGCAUAUUUGGAAUGAAAUUAGUUAAAUGAAUACUUAUAAAAAAAUUUAGCUAAGCCAAACAUGAUAAAGAGCAACUAUAUGUGUUUGGAUACUAGCCAAACCUCAACAUUUUAUAAUUAAUUUUCUUCUAUUUACUUAUUUAUUUUGAUCAGGCUGAUACUGAAACUGAUGAAGUCUAUGCUCAGAUGACUCUUCAACCUGUAAGCAAUGCAAGUCAGGUAUUAAAUUUGAGAAUUUAUUUACAUAACAAUACUUUAUAGGAAAAAAUGUGGUACAGCAUGAUAACUUAUCUGAAGAAGCAUUGAAUUUAUCAUCCUACAGUACGACCAGGAAGCUCUACUUUUAUCUGAGAUGGGACUUAAGCAAAGCAGGCAACCUUCUGAGUUCUUCUGCAAGACUCUUACAGCAAGUGAUACGAGUACGCACGGCGGUUUCUCCGUACCUCGUCGAGCAGCCGAGAAGAUCUUUCCUUCUCUGGUUUGUGUUAAGCAUUUGACAUUUCCGCAUAAAUUGAGAUGAUAAAAUUGUCAGCAUGUCUGGCUGUGCUUUUACUUUUCUUGGAAGUAUGCAGUAUAAACAUACUUCACUAAAAAGGAGCUUAAAAGCUGAUAUAAGUACAGCCAAACCUGCUCGAAUUCAGCUCAUUCUGCUACUUACCUGGAAAAUUUCUUGCAGGAUUUUUCGAUGCAGCCUCCUGCUCAGGAGCUAGUGGCUAAAGAUUUGCAUGACCAAUCAUGGACAUUCAGACAUAUAUAUAGGGGUAUUUGUUUCUAGAAUGUAUAUCCUUUGGUACUGUAUUUGUUUUAAAAUUCUCAAGGAUGUAUCAAGAAAAAGAUAUUAACUCUACUCUAUUAGAAUCCUCUCUUCCUGAAUAUUACUUCUAGAUAGACUACACAGAAAAUUGUAAAUACAUCUUGGAAAAAAUUAGAAUCAAACAUGCUCCUUUGAUUAUAUAUUCGUUCAAUGUUAAUUUGUCAUGAAAUUAUGAUUCUGAGAAAUGGUUUGCUAUGCCCUUUAUGUAAAUUAUUAUUUUUAUCAAUUAAGGACGCUAUAAGUCAAUUUGAUUUUACUUGCGAGUAUUCCAUAUGCAAAUAUACAUUACUUCAUAAAUAUUUCGAGUUCAUUUGAUGGUUACAGUUAGAUUUGUACCAUUUCUGCAUGUAAACCUCUAGAUUUGGUUACUUUUUCUUUUUGCUCACUUUACACAAGACUAGAUUCCUGGAAUAUCUCAUCGGGAUACACUCUCUUUGGAGCCACCUAAUAACGCUACUGAGAAAUAUUUCAUCUUAAUUAUUGGGAAUAAAACUUGAUUUUUGUUGUUGUAGUUCUGACCUGUUCUUGAUCAUCAAUCAUAGUUUGGAACAUAAAGUUAAAGACUACUUGUGCUUGAUUCCAGGUCAACCCAAAAGGCACCUGUUGACAACUGGAUGGAGUGUAUUUGUUAGCUCUAAAAGACUUACGGCAGGCGAUUCUGUCCUUUUCAUAAGGUACGGAAUAUUUGAAUUAAAAGCAUAGUUGGUUAAGCUUAACUGAACAUGUUUGGAAACAAAAAAGUGAGUUUCACUUGUUUUUAAGCUUAGCCAAACAUUCUCUCUGUUUGUGCUUAGCGUUAUCCUUGUCACUGAACUGCAAAAGUGUGAUAUAGAGACGAAAAGUCACAUCUUCUCUUGGGUAUAAGACAUGCUACCAGACAGCAGCCUGCUAUCUCCUCGUCUGUCAUAUCUAGUGACAGCAUGCACAUGGGAGUUCUUGCAGCUGCAGCUCAUGCGGCUGGGAACAACAGCCCAUUUAAGAUAUUCUACAACCCAAGGUAGUCGAACUAAUACCUUUUUCAACUGUUAAAGUACACUGGAUUAACUUUGUGAAAUUUUUUGAUUCCCUGAUGAAACCUAAACUUUUACAGGGCUAGCCCUUCUGAAUUUGUUAUUCCUCUUGCAAAGUAUAACAAAGGAAUGUAUACCCAAGUUUCAUUAGGUAUGCGUUUCAGGAUGAUGUUUGAGACUGAGGAAUCCGGAGUCCGCAGGUACAUGGGUACCAUUACUGGCAUUGGUGAUUUGGACCCAGUGCGAUGGAAAAAUUCACAGUGGCGUAACCUUCAGGUACUGGUUUUCUCUUUUCAUUUUGCUGAAAGUCUUCAACAUUUAUCUUUAGUGUGUAUGAUCAUGAACAUUUAGAACUUCGUGAUCGCUGUUCUACUCUCUUGGAAACUAAAUUUUUCCACUGCCCACCUAGGAUAUAACUCGACUGGUUGGUAAAUAUGUUGUCUAUAAUCAGUUUUUAGGCUAGCUUCUCUCAGUUUACCAUGCUAAAAGCUGCAUCUCAUUUUUGGUUUUGGCUUUUCUCCAAAUAUGUGCAUUGUAUCUUUCCAAUUUUUAUGUUUUCCUCUGCCGUAAUUGACCUUCAUUAAUUUCUAAUCAUGGUUUAGAUGUAUCCAAAAGAUUUAUCCUUGAUAUAUUCUACUACAAACGUCUUUUCCUCGAAACUUAUUCGAUUUCUAGAUCUCAUAAUCAAUUAUCAUUACUUUCGUUAGGUUGGAUGGGAUGAAUCUACUGCUGGGGAACGUCCUAGUCGAGUAUCAAUUUGGGAAAUCGAACCUAUUGUGACUCCCUUCUAUAUUUGUCCACCACCAUUUUUCAGACCUAAGUUUUCGAAACAACCAGGUUUCCCAGGUAAUCCAAGUUGACCACUUAUCUAUCUUUUAUUAUUCUGGGAUGUCAAACAGCUAUAAGUUACAAAUUUGUAUUAGUUUUAUUUGGUGUGUUUGUGGGAGACUGAAUGUGUCCAUAAGUUUUUGUUGAAAUUGCAAUAAUUUGUUGCAAAUGUUCAAAUUUUCCUCAAACUCGUGUUUUUACAGAUGAUGAUUCCGAUAUAGAGAAUAUUUUCAAGAGAGGCAUGCCCUUGAUUGGAGAGGACUAUGGUUUAAAAGAUACCUCAAGCUUCAUAUUCCCCGGGAUGAGUUUAGUUCAGUGGAUGAACAUGCAGCAGAAUCAACAGUUCACAGCUAAUCAGUCUGGACUUUUCCCGGACGGGCUCUCUUCAACUAACCUACACGGUAACCUUGGAACUGACGACUGCUCCAAGCUGUUGAAUUUCCAAUCCCCGGCCUUUGCUUCCCAAAAUCUCCAACUCAGCAAAAUCAAUCAACAAGUUGGACAACUUCAACAGCAGCCGUCUUCUGCGUGGCCCCAACAGCAGCCGCUGCAGCAAAUGUUAACGUCUUCUAUAAACCCUAUAAAUAAUGGUGUAGCUCCUGACCAGAAUCCAUAUCAAAAUUCACAGCAAACAGCAAUUAUCUCCCAACAACUUCAGCAACAACAGUUAAUAAGAGGCAAUACACAAAUGCAGCAAAAUGUUCCCUCAGCAAACAAAAGUACAGUACCCAUGAUAUCUUUACCUCAGGACACUCAGUUUCAGCAACAUAUUGAACAACCAUCUAGCCUUGUGCAGAGGCCCCAGCAACAGCAGACAGAAAUGCAACAAACUCGGCCACAAUUUCCGCAGCCAAUCUCAAUACAAAAGCCACAAGGGAAACAGACAUCACAACAGAGUAUUUCGGAACAUCAGCUGCAAAUGCAGAUUCUCCAGAAACAUCAGCAGCAACAGCAGCUGCAACAGGUGCCGUCCCCUGUAAGUUCUUUUUUGGAGCCUCCGUUUUCCCAACAACAACAGGCUCUUCAACAAAACCAGCAAGCUCAGCAUUUCAGCAGCACCGGCUUUUCAGCAUCAACACUUGUGCAAUCACCACAAUUUCCUGUCAACCAACUCUACAGCCAGCAAAAGUCUACGUUCACUGUCAAAUCACAUUCCGAACCAGCUGAUGCGGCUGGCCCAUCAUGUUCAAUCGCACCUUGUACAAACAAUAUGCAAGCUUCGCUGUCGAACUUUCUGAACAGAAAUCAAUUGGGAUCAGCUGCAUUACUUGAUAAUUCGGUUAUUCAUCCUGUUCCUAGUUUAGCUCCAGAGUCUCAUAGCAAGGCUGAUAUCCUAAUAAAAAGUGAUUUACCUAGUUAUAAAGGACCGAAGCAGCCUAAAUACCGAAAUACAGCUAAAGAUCACUUGGAUGCAGCUUCAAGCGCAACAUCGUAUUGCUUGGAUGCUAGUGGGCGGCAGAACUUUUCUCUUGCUGGCUUGGAUGGUGACAUUCAAUCACAUCCCCAGAGCAGUCUUCCUUUCACAAGCAGUAUUGAUGGAUUGACACCUGAUGCUUUGUUGUCAAGGGGUUGUGAUUCCGGGAAGGAUAUCCAAAACUUGCUCUCUAAUUACAGUGGUAAUCCAAGGGAUAAUGAAACAGAAUUUUGCUCUGCUGGAAUCAAUUCUCAAACAUUUGGGUUGCCAAAGAUGUCAUUUAACGCCAGUUGUUCAAAUGAUGCUGGGAUCAAUGAGGCUGGUGUUUUAAAUAGUGGGUUGUGGCCAAACCAGAUUCAGCGUAUGCGAACAUACACAAAGGUCUCUCUCUCUCUCUCUCUCUCAAACACACUGUUACACACACACGCACACUCUUCAAACUGGUCACCUGCCAAGUUCCCCCGCCACAAAAAUAGAAAAAUGAAAAAAAAUUACAGCAUAAUAGAAUCCAUCUACAUUCUCUUUGAGAACACUUACACGAAGGAACCGUAAUAUGAAAUAAAUUUUAUCUAAUUUCUUUCCCUCUUCGUUUGGAGACAGCCUGAUUACUAGAAAUUAUGCAGGUUCAAAAACGUGGCUCUGUGGGUAGAACUAUUGAUGUCACUCGUUACAAGGGGUACGAUGAACUUAGGCAUGAUCUAGCCCGUAUGUUUGGUAUCAAUGGACUACUUGAAGAUCCACAACGAUCUGAAUGGAAACUUGUCUACGUAGACCAUGAAAAUGACAUGUUACUUGUUGGCGAUGACGCUUGGGAGUAAGUGUUUAGCAACUGUCCUUGUUAUCUUAGUUUUUCGUUGAAAGAACACAAAAAUAACUUUGAAAAUUUUUCUCAGUGAGUUUGUGAGCUGCGUUCAGAGUAUAAAGAUACUGUCCUCUGCUGAGGUACAACAAAUGAGUUUAGAUGGAGAUUUAGCUCAGCCUCCUGCCCCAAACCAAGCACUCAGUGGAACAGACAGUGGUAAUGCUUGGAGAGGACAGUAUGAUGAUAAUUCUGCCAACUCUUUUAAUCGGUGAAAGCAUUGCAGAGAUUAACUUUUAUCAGCAGGAAAUGUUAGAAGGUAGAUGUAAAUUUCUUGUACCAUCGAAUGUUAAAAAGCUUGUCUGAAAUUUUUUGAAGUGCUUGUGCAUUCUUGUAGAAGAAUCAAGAAAACUAUAUAUACUUGACGAAACAAACAAUUUUUUAUUCAACUUUAAAAAAGGGAAAAUUCAGUCCAGUGCCAUCAUUUUCAUUCCUAAAUGGAUGCAACUCCAUAUUCUUUGCACUAAAUUACGCUAAACUGACAGUUCAAGAAAAUAUUCAUUUAGGACUGGAAUUCUUUUGUGAGAUAUCAGAAACUGGAAAAUAAGGACACAGACAAGCAGCUCUUUAAACGACUACAAAGAACAACAAAUGGUUCUCGAACUGAAAAAUCAUUACACUUUGAUUUCUUUCAUUACGCUGCAAAAAGUCGUCAUAUUGAUCCGGAUUACAACAAAUUUCUCAAGUUUCGCUUUUGCUGAACCAACUAAGAAAGGACAGCCAUGACCUCUGAAGCCCUUAGUGCUAUGUAGUUAGAACCGUCACUGCCCUUGAAAUCGUUUCCUGCAUAUUUGGAGUACAAAACUGUGUUCCCGGGGAUAACUGACAAUGGCUUCCUGUUACCUUCCUCAUCAAGGGGGCCAGGCCCGACUGCAAUCACCUGUAAUUGAAGAUGGAAA